GCUCCUAACGCAGGGGGAUCAGACGGUUUCUUUUGAGCAAUCGGAAGAAAUAGUGGUUUAUCGGUGAGUAACACGUAGGUAACCUACCCUGGAGUGGGGAAUAACGACUCGAAAGGGUCGCUAAUACCGCAUAUGCUCGGGAGAGUAAAGGUUCGCAAGAAUCGCUUUGGGAGGGGCCUGCUGCCCAUCAAGAAGUUGGGGUGGUAACAGCCCCCCAAGCUCAUAACUGGUAGUUGAUCUGAGAGGGAUGACGGGCCUUUUUUUUUACUUGAGACACGGGCUCUCACUCCACACGGGCACUCUAUCAGUGGGAUUCCUGGCUGAAAAGAUCACAACUCUCCAGAAAGAUAUGGGCGGCUGCUCCUCCCUAUUAAAUGAAGACAAUAUAAUUUGACAAAUGGAAUAUGGAGAUUUAACGGACUCCGCGAUAUUUCAUUUUUGAUUGUAAUUUUAAUGAUUCACCUAUUAAAUUAAAUGAAUUGGGAUCAUGUGAGAAAGAUAAUAAGAAAGACAUAUCAUGACGUUACAUAUAUUAUUAUUAAUUAUGCGAAUAAAAUAAAGGAAAUAGUUCAUUAGAGUAGGAGAAAACAAUGGGACUUCUGAUAACUAAUAGAAAGAUAAUAGGUGAAUUACAUUAAACAGCAUGUUGAGAUAAUCAUAGAAGCGACG
rnacentral:misc_RNA from 1 species